rnacentral:lncRNA from 1 species
UGAAAGUCAGGUCGGAUUAAGCCAUAGUACGGGAAAAACUAUGCUACCUGUGAGCCCCGUCCAAGGACGUAAAAAGAAGUCAGGCCAUCAUAAAAAUGCCACAGCUUGAGCAAACUGUGCAGCCUGUAGCUCCACCUGAGGAGGUGUAAAAAACCCGGGAGGCCACAAACCAUGGAAGCUGUACGCAUGGCGUAGUGGACUAGCGGUUAGAGGAGACCCCUCCCUUACAAAUCGCAGCAACAACGGGGGCCCAAGGUGAGAUGAAGCUGUAGUCUCACUGGAAGGACUAGAGGUUAGAGGAGAC